GAUUUAUAUUAUUCUAUUUUUCCAGAACUAGCCCCCUACCUGCAGUGCCUGCUACACCGCCGAUGAUGCGUGACAUGGCUGGUGACACUCACCACAUGUCAUCGUCACAGCGCGCAGCCUUGCAGCAUGCACAUGCAAACUCAUUUGGAUACUUCAUCACGCAAGACUCAUCGUUCGGCAAUCUCAUCCUACCCGUUCUGCCUCGAUGUGAUGUGAAAACGAGCUAACACACAGACUUCCGAGAUACUCGCUGCCAGAUGGCAGCACAAUCGCGUGUAUUUACUGUAUAUACUUGGUAGGCUCUCGUUAGGAUUUCCUUUAUAGACGUUGCUCGUGAGAGCAGUGUAUUUUAUCAGUUCAAAAUACGAACUGGGUAUGUAAGAUUUACAAAAUGUUAGUAUAUUACGACGCACACACUGUUAUAUUUAGACUACAUCUUAACAAGUGUAGUGAUCUUUCUAAUUAACUGACGUAAUAUUUUUUAUCAUCAAGUACUGUCUGUAGGAACAACAAAAUAUAGUCACUGUUUAAAUUUUAAUCAGCACUGCAUGAAAGUUCCAUAAUAGCAAUUAUUUAUACACUGUGUGACCAAAUAUAUCUCGAUCAUUUUCAUGCAUUAAACAAAUUAUUUUUGAUACAACUAAAA